GAGAGGGGAAGGGAGAGGCGCUGCCGGUGGUGACCACGCCACUGCCGCCGCUGACCUUGAGGGGAAAACGAGAGUGAGAGAGAGACAUGCACAGAACGCGCGACGUGAGCAAGAGAAGGAGCUCAUCUUUGUUGCCGCCGUCACCGCGCCUUGCCGUUGCUGUGGUUGAUGGAAGCCGCCGCUGUCACUGGAAGGAACCAAACAGAGAGUAGAUGACUGUUGAUGUUGCCGCAGAGAGGAAGGAAGGGACAGAAAGUGACGCAACAGAGGAGGAGCCGUUCCUCUGCCGCCGCCGCCUCCGAAAUUCCUGGUCGCCACCGUCAUUCAUGCUUGUAGGAACAUGUGGUUUCAUGAGGCUAGAUAAUAAGUUUCAGGUUCAAGUCUCGUCUUAAUUGUGUCAUGUAACAAGGUGUAUGAUAAUGAAGUAAUGAUCAUGAAGUAAUGAUCAUGUGAAUGUUUGAUUAAUGUGUGGUGACUAUGGUAGAAUGCUAUUCGCAAAGGAUACAGAUGGUAUACCCCUAAUGCCGGAACAUUUGAAUUGUGCAGAGCGAUUUGUCAUAAGUUGAAGGACUUGUUUUCAAAGCAGACAACCUUGGUUGGGAAAAAUUGUCAAUUUCAGUGCCUUCUGCUAUGGCUUUGACAGCUGAUCUUAUUGCUUCACUAGUUGACACAACAUUCAUUGGCCGAAUAGGAAAAUCAUUAUGAGGGUGAGGGAGAACUUCAUCACACAUUGAGAAGAUCAAACACUAGAGAGUAAAAAUUACCAAUUUGUGGAGAUGAUGGGGAGUCUAUUUGCUAUUGUAAUAUAUCAAAUCUUUUGUUUAUGAUUAGAUAUUUUUAUGACUUAAACUUUUAUUAUGUGAUUUUAAAGUAUCCUAGCUUA